AGGGAAAUUUAUAAUCUAUAAUUUGAAACCAAAAUAAGAAUGAGACAAGCUUAUUUGAAGGACUGGAAGGAAAAGGAUGUGAUAUAUGGCCUGAUACAGCCAAGCAAAAUGAACACUGCCAUUGCACUAUUACUUUGCAGACAAUCCAAAAAAACCAAAAGGGCCUAUUAAGGCUGUCUCUGUGGCGAUCUAAUUAGGUCAUACAAACAAUCUCUGUUGUUAAUAGGACCCUUUAACUGUACGUGGACACCUUAAGAAGUCUGUAGCAGAUAUAGGAAAGAUUCUGAUCCAUGAUGGGAAUAAGAAGUGAAUAAGAGCAAAGAAAUAACAGAUGAGAAAUUGGCACAGGAAUUAAAAAAGGUCUAUAAAUAGAAUUAUUGAAGUAGGAGAGGAAUGUGAGAGCCUUAUUCUUCCCUAGAGGUUAUGUUGGCCUAUUCUGUGAGACACAAUCUGCUUUGUUUGCUUGAAGUUAAGGGAAUGGAGAAGAGGAAUUGGUAGGAAACAAUGCAUUUUGAGGGCAAAGAAAAAGCUUCCAAGGGAAAGUGUGGGAAAGGUCAUGUUGAAAGAAUGUGUGUGCCUAGAGGGACUGAUAGCAGUGACUACCUGUAUCAUCCUAGUGAAGAAGAGCUAGAGGACAGCUGGGUGUAAAUUAAAAUAGAAUCACAACAAGUGCAGUGGGACCACUUCUGGCUUCAGGACAUCAUGCCAGACAGGUGUCAAAUGUGUGUGGCUCCUCACUCAGUGCAGACUGGACUUGAGACAACAACACCAAGUGAUCCACUCACCCUGAAGGAUGCUUGAGGACAGAAUGUCACCUGAAUGAGCUACUCCCUACACUAACCAGAAGGUGACUGGACAAUUUACAUCUGUGCACUUAUUGAAAGGAAGGCUGAAGAAUCAUUUUUGUUGCAGGAGUAGCUUAUGGGAACAACUUCAAUGUCCUACAGCUGGAUCAGCCCUUCCCUUCUGUCCCCAGACUUCGGCCCAGUAAGAUCACAAGAGGAGGUACAGCCUGGAGAGCCCCAGCAAGAGAUGAGACAAUUCUAGCCCUGAGGCACAGAUGUGCCAAGCAGGAGAAUCCUGCACUGCCCAGCAAUACGGUAAGAAAGGGGAUUAUCAGUGCAGGUACUUGACCAUCUCAGUGGUGAGACAAUCAUUCAAUGCUAAGAGAAAUUACAUUGGUUGCUUACAAGUUUAACCUCUUUUGUCACCAGCAUUGAGACCUAUGAAGCUGGCUCCUUUCUAGGGCAUCUUUACACAGACACAGAUUUACAGUGGAGAGGAUCCAAUGUAAAAACAAACAAAUAAACAAAACAAGCAGAGCAAGCAAGAUUUUCAGGGAUGUAAUUGUCCUGAGUGAGGGGCAGUAAUCACUCUGUGAUAUUUCAGUAAUUCAAAUUCUCCAGCCUUGAGAAGUUUUAGGAGGAAAAUUCCAACAAGUAUAAAAAUCCACUAUGAUCUUAAGUAGAUGAAGACAAAAGGGCUAAAACCCACACCACUACUCCUGUCCCUCUCUGUUGAUUCUGAUAAAAAUUUUAACCAGAAACUAACACUCCACACUCUCUACAAAGAAGAAGGAAAGUUUUGAGAGCUGGAAGCUGGCUUAUUUGAGCUGGACAGGUUUCAUCUGGCUGUCAUUGAGGAAAACUUUGAGUGCAUGUUCUUUUGUUUUAAACACAAACCUGUUUCUAACAGAAGAAUUUGUGCUUUUACCGUGUAUCACAGGUACUUAGGCAGGCAGUGUGCACUGUAUAAACCUAAAUCAUUAAACAGCCCUUGGCCACUGCUUAAAGUGAGACAAGUAUCUGCCUGAGCUGUAUACUUAAUUGCUUAAGAGAGGAAAAAAAGGGGGACUGAGUUACUAGAAAUCUCAGAGCAGUAAUAAUGGAAAUGUAGCCCCUAGAAAGAGAACUACUGAAUGGUGCAUCCAGAAAUACUUAGGAGGAAUCUGAAAAUAGCAAAUGAGGUGCUUUGAAGGGGUCACCAGUGGGUGUGAAGGACAAACACAGUGUUAGAGACUGAUGGGGAAAAUCCUCUAACCUUGCGGAGUUGCCUGAGACCAGAGGCAGGGAGAGGAUAAAUCCAGAGCAGGUGUGAGAUGGUCCAGCUUUCAGGUAUGUUGGAACACACUUGCCUGUAAGCCUGCUGCCCAUGUUCCCAGCCCUUGAUGAUUGCAUCUGCCUCUCCUUGUCAUUAACACACCUUUUUUUGUGGGAAUUGUGAAGAAACAUUUAGUUGUGAUUGAAGGAACACUCCACCAGGGAGUGUGAGACGGCUGAUUUUGUUGAAUUAGAGAUUUCCAUGAGAUUCUAAGGACUAGCACAGAAGUGAAUAUACAGGGAGGAUCCACGUGGACCACAGAACAUCUGAUUCCUUCUGGAAGAUGGACUUUCUGCUCAUGAUGUAGUUCAGCCAAAGGCGGAGAACAUUUGUCUGUAUGGACAAACGCUGGCGCUGGAAUUGGAUCAUAGGGAUCAAUAAGUACCUGCACGCACUAGGAAAGUUGUUAUGCCCAGUUCAGCCCAAAGGCUCACAAAUUAUACAAAGCCUUUGUUCCGUUUAUGACCUUUGAAAGGUGAUCUGUGUGAUGGAGGACUCUCUUUGGGAAUCCUUUGGUGUCCCUGCUCCCACUGGAUUCACACAGUCAGCACCCUGGAAAGAGGAAGCAUGUGAAGAAUCACAAGUGGAUUUCAGUAGGGUACUCCAUGCAGCCAAGGGCUUCUGUCAAGGAAUGAGUGGAGCUCUGAGCAACCUGGUCUAGUGGAAGGUUCCCUGCCCAUGGCAGGGGGAUGGAACUGGAGGAUCUUUAAGGUUCCUUCCAACCCAGGCCAUUCUGUGAUAAAGGAUUACUGAUUUUUGUGAAGGAUUGACAGCACUGCCAGAAGGCAAUUCCACACUUCCUGGUGCCUAGAGAAGGAGUCCUUCCCCUUUCUCCCCAGCCUGGUUUAGGGAGAAGCUGGAGUUUCAUUUGCCAUCAAAACAUGACCCCUGCUGGAGGACCAAGGAUGUGACUUUCAGUUCUUCAUGUGGAUAGCCCCACACAGAGAAUGGCACAGAUGUGAUUAAUGUGAUAUGAUACAGCUGUCACUGGCUACAGGAAAUCACAGACAACUAAAAAAAGGUUGGCUUAAAAAGACUUCUUAUUCACCCAACUGCAAAGGUUUUCCUUACAGGCUCAUGGAACGGAAUAUUUGAUUGGUAGGUUUUGUCUAUGAAGCCAGAGAAUUAGACACAAAGUAAUCUUCAUGUCACAAAUACUGCUCUGCAGUAAUUGCAGGUACUUGCAGCUCUCACAGGAAAAGACCAAAAUGUAACUGUUCUGUACAAACUUGGAUAGGGUAAUUGAACUGUGUCAUUUAGCACCAUAAUUUACAGUAGUACAGUGAAGUAAAAUAUACAAGCUUGAAAGUUUUUUUUAAAAAAGGGUAAAAUCUUUGGGCCUAUUUUUGUACCUAUCUGAAUUCAGAACUAAGAUGCACCAAAAUUCAAGUGGACAUUAACAUGUACUGAAGAAAUGCCAAAUGGCCAUUAAAGAGGCAUGGAAAGGAGUGGCAGUUCCUCCAUCCAGUCACUGGAGAUGUCAUGGGAUGCUCAUGUGGGCUCCAGCUAUCAUGGAAAAUGAGCUCUUUUAGGAUACUUUUUUGAGGGAGUGAUCCAUAGAGAUCAGCUGUGAGAUCCUUGGAGUCUGUAGAAACUCCCCCAUCCCCUUUUGCCAGCCAGCACUGCUGCACCAGGGGCUGUCCCUGCAGCUGGGGUGGCACAGCUGGCUCCAACUCCCCCCCAUCCUGGGAUGUCACAGCUGUUCUGUUCAUUAAAUGUCAUUUUUGGCACUUCUGUGUUUGGGAAUGACUCUGCCAAUCCCAGAGUCUCGCUCUGAAGAGACCUCCUGGGGUCCAACCCAGCCCUGCACACAGCAGUUACACUUGGCACAGAACUCACAAUUGGAAUCUCAGAGUAUCCUGGGCUGGGAGGGACCCACAAGGAUCACGGGGUGCAGCUCCUGUGGGCUGGGGAUCUGCAGCUGCUCU